UACGUAGGGUGCAAGCGUUGUCCGGAAUUAUUGGGCGUAAAGAGCUCGUAGGCGGUUCGUCGCGUCGGCUGUGAAAUCCCGAGGCUCAACCUCGGGUCUGCAGUCGAUACGGGCGGACUGGAGUUCGGCAGGGGAGACUGGAAUUCCUGGUGUAGCGGUGAAAUGCGCAGAUAUCAGGAGGAACACCGAUGGCGAAGGCGGAUCUCUGGGCCAUUACUGACGCUGAGGAGCGAAAGCGUGGGGAGCGAACAGG
rnacentral:rRNA from 1 species